GCCCUCGUAGCUUAAUGGAUAAAGCUCUUGCCUGACUAACGAGAUGAUGCGGGUUCGAAUCCUGCCGAGGGCG
rnacentral:tRNA from 1 species